CACGUAGGGUGCAAGCGUUGUCCGGAAUUAUUGGGCGUAAAGGGCUCGUAGGCGGUCCGUCACGUCGGGAGUGAAAACUCGGGGCUCAACCCCGAGCCUGCUUUCGAUACGGGCGGACUAGAGGUAGGUAGGGGAGAACGGAAUUCCUGGUGUAGCGGUGGAAUGCGCAGAUAUCAGGAGGAACACCGGUGGCGAAGGCGGUUCUCUGGGCAUUACCUGACGCUGAGGAGCGAAAGCAUGGGGAGCAAACAGG
rnacentral:rRNA from 1 species